UAGCUUAGUCGGUAAAGAAUCUGCCUGCAAUGCAGAAGACCCAGGUUCAAUUCCUGG
rnacentral:tRNA from 1 species